CGGCCGAUGACUUAUAAACCGGUAGACCGGGCAACGCGUGGACUCCGCUCGGGACGCGCCGCAGAGGAGCAAAGUUCAAGCCUGCCCGUGUGUGCGUGUCACAGUCACCUCAUCACCUAUUGCUUAUUUAGGAUACUCGUCCCCCUUUUUUACGGCACCAGUGUUUGUCUCUGCUUCAUUUGCAAAGCUAUUAGCGGGCAAUGUUUAUUCAAAAGGUGUAAUAUGUAACCCUCCGGCGAGCGGUCGUUUUGACUUUGUUUCCACGGCGAUGGACUUUUGUUAGCGCAUCCGUAUCUCGUUUUAUCUCGGGUGAGCUUCGUCGAUGAAAAUAAGGAAAGCGGCGAAGCCGACAAGCCGGUCUAACGUUGAUCCGCAGCAAUAUUUGAAUAGUCGAAGUUGCCGAGAGCUGCUGAAUGUUAAUAUAAGCAAAUGAUUUGGGAUGUCGGAAAAAAGCAAACAUCCAGAACACACAGAAUGUUGUUGACUCGGAAAACCUAGCUAAAUUCCCAUUUUGAUUCCAGAACUACACACAAAUUCAUAUAAAAGCAGCAAGUGGAGGGCUACCAUGUUGGAGGCCUGGCAUUCAAAAAAAAAAAAAAAAAAGCAUUUCAGAGCUGACUGAUUGGUUAGGCUGGAGAAGAGGGGGUGGGGAUCCGUGUUGAUUGACAGUCGGACUGAACAAUGGGGCCACGCGGAGGCCGAACAGGCAAGAAAAAGAAGAGAAAAUGGGCCUCCGCGAUACGUCGCUUCCAACGGGGAAGCGUAUUUUCAUGUGGAUGAGCCUUGGAGUUACAGCAACAAGCGGGACUGAGUCAUUAUUAUUUUUCGCAUGGAUUAAAAAAUACCCAUUCACUCGGUGCGCGCGUGUGCGCGUGCGUGUGUGUGUGUGUGUGUGUGUGUGACAUUCAGGGGUCAAGAGAAACAUGACAAGUGAGAUGAAAUCAACAACGGCACAGGUGACGAAUGGAUGCUUGCUCGGCUGAGAGGCCAAAGGUGGAGGAAGGUUGGCGACACACAGAAAAUUGCUUUGGAACGGAGACUUCCCCUCUGCGCUCGAUAAAUGUUCAACAUCAACUCGAUGUUGUAAAGAACCGGAACCGCUUCCUCCUUGUCCUCCAUUUGUUGCCCUCGCUUUCACUUCACUCCCUCCCAUGGAAAGGCUCUGUUGCCAUGGCAGCAGAGCGCCAGUGGCCCGGGUGCCGUUGCCAUAGCGACCCAUAUGAUGUCUUACACAGGGGCCGCCAUUGGAUGAUUCCAUUUCUCAGCGCGCUCACGUCGAGAUGGAUGGCGGCUGCCGCUUUGCUGAAGGAUGUUGAGGGUUGGCUACGUGAAAAGAAAGUCAAGCGCGAAGAACAUUUCCACGAUGACUCAUCCACUCUGUAGCCAGCACGCGCCAACUUUGCGCGGACCGACACGAUUAACGGUAGAUUAUAAAUACGGAAUGAAUUUCACUUCAUUUUUACGUUCUUAUGUGUCACCAUGUGAAUCGAAUCUUCCCGAAGCUUUAAGAAUCACUCGUGCUAACCUCAGCCCCCCAAAUAUGCUUGAAUAUGUAUUUUAAUGAGAGAAGCAAAAAGAAGAAAAUUGCUCUCCAUAAUAUCGUAUAACAUUGCUAAAAAAACAAAACAAAUGGAAUUAAAA